AUUGAACGCUGGCGGCAGGCUUAACACAUGCAAGUCGAGCGGAGAUGAGGUGCUUGCACCUUAUCUUAGCGGCGGACGGGUGAGUAAUGCUUAGGAAUCUGCCUAUUAGUGGGGGACAACAUUCCGAAAGGAAUGCUAAUACCGCAUACGUCCUACGGGAGAAAGUAGGGGAUCUUCGGACCUUGCGCUAAUAGAUGAGCCUAAGUCGGAUUAGCUAGUUGGUGGGGUAAAGGCCUACCAAGGCGACGAUCUGUAGCGGGUCUGAGAGGAUGAUCCGCCACACUGGGACUGAGACACGGCCCAGACUCCUACGGGAGGCAGCAGUGGGGAAUAUUGGACAAUGGGGGAAACCCUGAUCCAGCCAUGCCGCGUGUGUGAAGAAGGCCUUAUGGUUGUAAAGCACUUUAAGCGAGGAGGAGGCUACUGAGACUAAUACUCUUGGAUAGUGGACGUUACUCGCAGAAUAAGCACCGGCUAACUCUGUGCCAGCAGCCGCCGCGG
rnacentral:rRNA from 1 species